UUGUAUCUUUCAUUACUAUACCACAAAGUGGAUCAGGUCUGAUCAAGGCUGUUCAACGUUGGCCACAGAAAUGAGGCGGCUUCUUUUAAAAAACAAGACACUCCCUCCCACAAUGGGUACCCCCUACCACAUGGUAUGUGAUGUGGGAUAGAUCCAGAUGUGGGAUGUAGAAGGAGGGGUGAAAUCUCCACCCUUCAAACAGAGACAAGAGACCUGUGGGUUCCUGGAGGCUGGCUACCCAAGAGACCAUCUCUGGUCCUUGGCACACUUUUUCCCUUAGUGGGAAAAAGAAGGGGAGUCCUUCUCAGCCCGGCCCAGAUAUCCAGGGCCAAUCCCUGCUGUUUCAGGAACCUUCAUUCUGAGAAAUGUUGGGGAUUAACUUUCCUGAUGGCCUAGUAGUGAAAGUGAAAAAGACGAGUUCUAGGCGCAGGAGCCAGGCCAGGAAAGCAGUUGGCAGCCCAGCCUACCUAACCACCACUGAGCCCUGUCAAAGCUGAGACUAGUUUUCAUUCAAAAGUUGGUGGUUGCUCUGCUGGGUUCCAGAGCCUGGGUCUGUUUACGUGGUUGCUGCAGCAACGCUGUUCCAAGCCAGCCCAGGGCUACUGGUCAUUCAUGCUCUGGACCAGGUCGCCGACAGAAGGAGCUUUGGGGCUCUCCUGCUGGUGGCUCUUGGUUGGGCAAGAGGUUCGCUUCAACCAGGCUCUCCGGCACCAGCACAUCGGGGAACCGAGAAGGAUAUCCAGAGCUUUCAGAGGUGUGAGGAGGUGGUGCCUGUGUUCCCGCGGUGCAGGCACUCCAGCAGCAGAAGACCCUGCUCCUUUACCUGAGAAUUAGGAGCCCAAACAGCUGAUGCACUGCCCUCACACACAGUUCCUGUAGCCAAACAAAACCCCAUUCCCUGCCCUCAAGGAGCCUCUCUAGUCUAAACCCGCAACAUUUCUAAUCAGGAGAGAAAGGGGAGGGAGAGGAAACAAGAUUAGAACCUGACGCCCCCUGACACCCUUUUUCCUCUCUUAUCGCUCCUUUCACUUUGUGUAAUGUUUUAUUAUUUAAUAAUUGUUUAUAUAUCAAUUUUAUUGUAGUAUUUAUGUUGUUAGCCGCCUAGAGUGGUCCUGACCCGACCAGAUAGGCGAGAUAUAAAUAAAAUAAAAUAAAACAAAAUAAAACA
rnacentral:lncRNA from 1 species